AGCUGUCUUCACAUCAGCUUGUCAAAUGCCCAGUCUUUACAGAGCUGCUAUUUUCUUGGUACUUCAGACCCUGUACCUUAUUUUUCUCUCAUGCCCUACCUCCCACAACAGCUUUCCAGAUCAUCAUUAGUUCACCAAGCCCUCCACCAAUUCCACACAAAUCCAAUUCAUCCUGCUCAAAAAAUAAAUUUUACCUUUAAAAUUGCGCAAAAGUAAUUUUAACAAUGUAUCCAUUUAAUUCUGUUCCAGUACAGAACCAG